UACAGAGGUCUCAAGCGUUGUUCGGAUUCAUUGGGCGUAAAGGGUGCGUAGGCGGCGCGGUAAGUCGGGUGUGAAAUCUCGGGGCUUAACUCCGAAACUGCAUUCGAUACUGCCGUGCUUGAGGCGAGUAUGGGUCACUGGAACUGACGGUGGAGCGGUGAAAUGCGUAGAUAUCGUCAGGAACGCCAAUGGUGAAGACAGGUGACUGGGCUCGAUCUGACACUGAGGCACGAAAGCGUGGGGAGCGAACGGG
rnacentral:rRNA from 1 species